rnacentral:rRNA from 1 species
CAAUAGCGUAUAUUAAAGUUGUUGCGGUUAAAAAGCUCGUAGUUGGAUUUCUGCCGAGGACGACCGGUCCGCCCUCUGGGUGAGUAUCUGGUUCGGCCUGGGCAUCUUCUUGGAGAACGUAUCUGCACUUGACUGUGUGGUGCGGUAUCCAGGACUUUUACUUUGAGGAAAUUAGAGUGUUUCAAGCAGGCACACGCCUUGAAUACUUUAGCAUGGAAUAAUAAUCUAGGACUUCGGUUCUAUUUUGUUGGUUUCUUAGUACUGAAGUAAUAGAUUGAUAGGGAGUAGUUGGGGGUGGCUAGUAUUGGCCGGCCGACGAGGUGGAAAUUACUUGGUAUUCGGUCAAGACUAACUUAUGCGAAGACAUUCACCAACGGAUGUUUUCUAUUGAUCAAGAACGAAAGUUAGGGGAUCGAAGACGAUUAGAUACCAU